CGGCGCCUGCAGCUGUACUAACGACAGAGUAUUUAUCCCAGCCUCUCGGGGAGGAUUCCCCGCCACCGCCGCCGGGGACUGCACAGGGAGGACUGGGGACACACACACACACACCGAGACGGGGAUAGCCCCUCUGCGGGGCAGGGGGCUUCAUGGAGAGACAGCCCGGGAACGCUCGGGAGGGCACGUCGCUGUACCUGCUUGAACUAGCCCUCGGCGGGGAAAGAUGGCUCUCUGCUUCAGGGCUAGGAAAGUUUAGGAGGGGGCUAAGGACACAGCGUCCGUUUUAUUUCCCACCGCCCCCUUCUUCCCCCGGGAGGUGAAGGGGGGUAUUUUAGUUUAUGGCAAUGAGGAAGGUAUAUUAUGGCAGCCUGCGCGAACUAAAGCAAAACAUAAGCAUAACUUAAAAAGCCCUCAGUUUAUGAACACUGCCUCUUUGUUUUCCAGAUGCUCUACCUGAAUAGUUCAGAUAUUUCCAGCAUCUUUUCUGAUGUAGUGCUAUCGAUCAGAAACGCUCACUCGGGAGGCAGUCGUGGGGCUACGUCUAGUUUCCAGACUCCGCCCAACCUACCGAGUGCAAAAACUUCGUCUUCUCCCAACGUCGUGCACUAAAAAGCGGGCUUUAUGUAAACAAAUCCAUAUGAAGGGAGCGUAAAUCUACAGAAGGAACCUCACCCUCGGCUGCACUGGGGACCGACGGGUGUCUUUCCGUCGGGGG